CCAUAGGCUCCCGCGGGAACGGCUGACUCAGGGUGAGUGUGAGUGAACGCGGGCCGCUGCUGUUGUUUAUGGAGGUCUGUGUGUUUGAGCAGGUGGCGAGGAUUAGCGGUGCUGUCAACACUGAACGCUGGAUAAAGCUUCUGCUCACCCUUUCCUCAGUCUGCUCAUUAGAGCUCAUCAUUUUACCAUUUCACUCUCACACACGCAUCUGAAGAGAUGUAGUGGCAGCCCUGUCUCCUGUUGUGAAGCAGAUGUUGCCCUCUGUUUUUACCCACCUCUGCACCCUUUAUCCCAUGCCAAGUCCCAAGAAGCAAUGGUGCCAUGCUAAGUGAGGGACACAAUGGAUAUGUAAAAAUCCAGCAGAAUGCAGGUUUGACAGUGUGUCCUUUCUAAUUCCCACUCUCCAUCACUUAACCUCCUGGUCAGACAGAGGAACAGAGGGUGCUGGGAAAGAA